GGGAGUCUGGCCGAGUGGUUAAGGCGCUGUGUUUAGGUAUAGUUAAAUCAGCCUCUUCGGAAGUUGGUUUAUACCUUAAAUCCCGCAGUGGGAAACCGCGCAGGUUCGAAUCCUGCGGCUCUCA